rnacentral:piRNA from 1 species
UACCGCAGUUUUUAUUCUGAA